rnacentral:rRNA from 1 species
AUUGAACGCUGGCGGCAUGCCUUACACAUGAAAGUCGAACGGCAGCACGGGUGCUUGCACCUGGUGGCGAGUGGCGAACGGGUGAGUAAUACAUCGGAACAUGUCCUGUAGUGGGGGAUAGCCGGGCGAAAGCCGGAUUAAUACCGCAUACGAUCUACGGAUGAAAGCGGGGGACCUUCGGGCCUCGCGCUAUAGGGUUGGCCGAUGGCUGAUUAGCUAGUUGGUGGGGUAAAGGCCUACCAAGGCGACGAUCAGUCGCUGGUCUGAGAGGACGACCAGCGACACUGGGACUGAGACACGGCCCUGACUCCUACGGGAGGCAGCAGUGGGGAAGUUUGGACAAUGGGCGAAAGCCUGAUCCAGCAAUGCCGCGUGUGUGAAGAAGGCCUUCGGGUUGUAAAGCACUUUUGUCCGGAAAGAAAUCCUUGGCCCUAAUACGGUCGGGGGAUGACGGUACCGGAAUAAUAAGCACCGGCUAACUACGUG